CUGAUGCGUUGUUGGGUAGGGGAGCGUUCUGUAAGCCUGUGAAGGUGGCCUGUGAGGGUUGCUGGAGGUAUCAGAAGUGCGAAUGCUGACAUAAGUAACGAUAAAGCGGGUGAAAAGCCCGCUCGCCGGAAGACCAAGGGUUCCUGUCCAACGUUAAUCGGGGCAGGGUGAGUCGACCCCUAAGGCGAGGCCGAAAGGCGUAGUCGAUGGGAAACGGGUUAAUAUUCCCGUACUUGGUGUUACUGCGAAGGGGGGACGGAGAAGGCUAUGUUGGCCGGGCGACGGUUGUCCCGGUUUAAGCGUGUAGGUGUGUGUUCCAGGUAAAUCCGGUUCACUUUAACACUGAGGCGUGAUGACGAGGCACUACGGUGCUGAAGCAACAAAUGCCCUGCUUCCAGGAAAAGCCUCUAAGCAUCAGGUAACAUCAAAUCGUACCCCAAACCGACACAGGUGGUCAGGUAGAGAAUACCAAGGCGCUUGAGAGAACUCGGGUGAAGGAACUAGGCAAAAUGGUGCCGUAACUUCGGGAGAAGGCACGCUGACACGUAGGUGAAGUGAUUUACUCACGGAGCUGAAGUCAGUCGAAGAUACCAGCUGGCUGCAACUGUUUAUUAAAAACACAGCACUGUGCAAACACGAAAGUGGACGUAUACGGUGUGACGCCUGCCCGGUGCCGGAAGGUUAAUUGAUGGGGUCAGCGCAAGCGAAGCUCCUGAUCGAAGCCCCGGUAAACGGCGGCCGUAACUAUAACGGUCCUAAGGUAGCGAAAUUCCUUGUCGGGUAAGUUCCGACCUGCACGAAUGGCGUAAUGAUGGCCAGGCUGUCUCCACCCGAGACUCAGUGAAAUUGAACUCGCUGUGAAGAUGCAGUGUACCCGCGGCAAGACGGAAAGACCCCGUGAACCUUUACUAUAGCUUGACACUGAACAUUGAGCCUUGAUGUGUAGGAUAGGUGGGAGGCUUUGAAGUGUGGACGCCAGUCUGCAUGGAGCCGACCUUGAAAUACCACCCUUUAAUGUUUGAUGUUCUAACGUGGACCCGUGAUCCGGGUUGCGGACAGUGUCUGGUGGGUAGUUUGACUGGGGCGGUCUCCUCCUAAAGAGUAACGGAGGAGCACGAAGGUUGGCUAAUCCUGGUCGGACAUCAGGAGGUUAGUGCAAUGGCAUAAGCCAGCUUGACUGCGAGCGUGACGGCGCGAGCAGGUGCGAAAGCAGGUCAUAGUGAUCCGGUGGUUCUGAAUGGAAGGGCCAUCGCUCAACGGAUAAAAGGUACUCCGGGGAUAACAGGCUGAUACCGCCCAAGAGUUCAUAUCGACGGCGGUGUUUGGCACCUCGAUGUCGGCUCAUCACAUCCUGGGGCUGAAGUAGGUCCCAAGGGUAUGGCUGUUCGCCAUUUAAAGUGGUACGCGAGCUGGGUUUAGAACGUCGUGAGACAGUUCGGUCCCUAUCUGCCGUGGGCGCUGGAGAACUGAGGGGGGCUGCUCCUAGUACGAGAGGACCGGAGUGGACGCAUCACUGGUGUUCGGGUUGUCAUGCCAAUGGCACUGCCCGGUAGCUAAAUGCGGAAGAGAUAAGUGCUGAAAGCAUCUAAGCACGAAACUUGCCCCGAGAUGAGUUCUCCCUGAGACUUUAGGUCUCCUGAAGGAACGUUGAAGACGACGACGUUGAUAGGCCGGGUGUGUAAGCGCAGCGAUGCGUUGAGCUAACCGGUACUAAUGAACCGUGAGGCUUAACCUUACAACGCCGAAG
rnacentral:rRNA from 1 species